GUGGACUGUUGUUUGUAAUUUUGAAAGUAGUGAAAAGGCCACAGUGGGGUUCGGUGACUUAACCUAAUUCAGGCAGAAACCCACAGCAGGUGAUUGAUUCCUUUAGGUGGCUAACACCACAACAGGAGAAGAAAAGAGGUGCUAAAACAAGAAUGUUGAGUUGUUGAGCUGGAGAAAGAAAGGGGCUGAGCUUCAGGAAACGGAAAACAAAAGGACUUAAGGCAACAUGAGAGCCUCUAUGAAGGGAGUUCAAGAAGCACAAAACAAGCACAGGAAAGGAAUAUUUUGACCUCUAACUCAGACAGCCUUUCCGAUGCAUGCUCAGGAGGAAGUUGGCUGGUCAUAUGCUAGAUACAAAAAAGUGACAAACUGCUAUGUGUGGUGGCGUAUACCUACAAUCCUAGAGCUUGGAAAGCUCAGAUAAGAGGAGUGCUACAAGUUCAAGUCAGCCUGGGAUCCAUAGCAAAAAGCUGCCUCAAAUAAAACAAAACACCUCCCAAACCAAACCAAACCAAACCAAACUAAAAAGGAAGUGUCAAACUGGUUUUUGGUUCAUGAUACAGUAAAACCCACAUGAGGACUGGAAAAAUGGCUACUGGAUAAAGACACCUGCUGCCAGGCAGGAUAUGACACUCUCAUGAAAAAAUAUUCUCCUCACUAGAAAUGUACAGACUACAUUGUAACAGAUAAAUCUUGGGGUUUGUCAAAAUCUAAAUAAAAC
rnacentral:lncRNA from 1 species